rnacentral:rRNA from 1 species
UACGGAGGGAGCUAGCGUUGUUCGGAAUUACUGGGCGUAAAGCGCGCGUAGGCGGCUUUGUAAGUUAGAGGUGAAAGCCCGGGGCUCAACUCCGGAAUUGCCUUUAAGACUGCAUCGCUUGAAUCAUGGAGAGGUGAGUGGAAUUCCGAGUGUAGAGGUGAAAUUCGUAGAUAUUCGGAAGAACACCAGUGGCGAAGGCGACUCACUGGACAUGUAUUGACGCUGAGGUACGAAAGCGUGGGGAGCAAACAGG